CCUACGGGAGGCAGCAGUGAGGAAUAUUGGUCAAUGGACGAGAGUCUGAACCAGCCAAGUAGCGUGAAGGAUGACUGCCCUAUGGGUUGUAAACUUCUUUUAUAUGGGAAUAAAAUGUUCCACGUGUGGGAUUUUGUAUGUACCAUAUGAAUAAAGAUCGGCUAACUCCGUGCCAGCAGCCGCGGUAAUACGGAGGAUCCGAGCGUUAUCCGGAUUUAUUGGGUUUAAAGGGAGCGUAGGUGGAUUGUUAAGUCAGUUGUGAAAGUUUGCGGCUCAACCGUAAAAUUGCAGUUGAAACUGGCAGUCUUGAGUACAGUAGAGGUGGGCGGAAUUCGUGGUGUAGCGGUGAAAUGCUUAGAUAUCACGAAGAACUCCGAUUGCGAAGGCAGUUCACUGGACUGCAACUGACACUGAGGCUCGAAAGUGUGGGUAUCAAACAGGAUUAGAUACCCCAGUAGUC
rnacentral:rRNA from 1 species